ACGGCAGCUCUAUUUACAACAGCAUCCCAACCCAACCAAGGAAACCAGCAGGUGAGCUGUCUCCCCUGGUAAAGCCACUUGCCACCUUUUGAGCCUGAUAAUUUGCAUUCAAUCUCUGGGACUGGGAUGCACAGGCCAGGCCCCUGAGGGGAAGUAUCUGACCACACGGUCCCCAAAGGCUUCCCAAACUCUCUCCCAGCUCUGAGCCUGGCAGUCUUUCCCUGGUGGCUGAUUCUGGUGCUGACUGUCAGGAUUUCCCGGCUUAUCUGCAUGCUCUCUUCUGGUUUUCCUGCCCAGGCCUCUCUGGAAGGAGAGCUGUAGGGAGCAGUGGGUUCCUCAGGCCCAUGCCCCACCCAACCCUCCCUUCCUGGGAGGACCAUUUCCUGUUUGUGAGUCAGUACCAGACCACCAGGCUCCUCCUCCUCUUCAGCCAGGGGCAGAAGGACCAAAUGACAGGUCUAAAAUCUCCUCCGCAGGCCCUGUUCUCUCUUGGCCAGUGGGCAAGCCCAUGGAUACACUCUGGAUCUGGUCUUCAGGGCUACAGCCGCCCGGAGGCUCCUCAGGGCCCUGCCCCAUGCCAGGUCAAGACGAGCAGAGACUGGCAAUCCAGGGUACCCAGCACCUCCAAGAUCCAGCAGUGGGCUUCACUUGCCAUAGGUGACCACAGGACAGUCUGCUGUACAGAGGCUGCUAUUUCUGCCCAGAGAACCCAAGCCCUUUGCCAAGUGAAUCCCCAUGCAACUCUUCAGAGCUUGACUUGGCCACUUCU
rnacentral:lncRNA from 1 species